GGCCACCCUGGCUUCCGCAGCGCCAUCUGUGCCAGGUGUCAGCACUGUCGCUCGCCCCAGGCGGUGAAUGAUCCGCCAUCUUCGCCUUUUCCUUCCGCCUGCAACCUCGUCCAAUCAGAGACGCGCUGCGGCAAUGCAUGCAUUGCACUGAAAGAAGAAAUUCACUUUUUUGCUAUGCAUUGGGCGUGUUGCACGUGAGCACGUGCGGUGAAGGGUCGCCAUGACCGAGCAGCGCUUCUGCCUGCGGUGGAACCACCACCAGACCACACUCAUCAACGUGUUUGACUCGCUACUCAAGGACGAGAGCCUGGUGGACGUGACGCUGUACGCCGAGGGACGGCCCGUCAAGGCGCACAAGGUUGUCCUCUCAGCAUGCAGCCAGUACUUCAAAGCCAUCUUUUCUGCCCACACCGAGUCUCACCCGGUGAUAAUCAUCAACAAUGUGCUGCACAGCGAGCUGCGCGCGCUGGUCGACUACAUGUACCGCGGCGAGGUGAACGUGUGCCAGGACCAGCUCUCCUCCUUCAUCAAGGCGGCCGAGUCGCUCAAGAUCAAGGGUCUGGCGGACGGCAGUGAGCGCCGUGCGCCGGUGUCCGCGCCGCCCUCGCCGCCGCCGCCGCCACCGGUGCCGUUCCAAACGGUACCGGCACGCCCGGCCAGCCCUCGCUCCGUGCGCGACUCACCGGUGCCGAUACCGCUGACCGGGCAGCCGAACGGACGCGUCUCGCCGCCGCCGGCCAAGCGGCCGCGGCCGGCCUCUGUGGACGGCGCUCCGCCGGCGGGCGCCGCGCUCUGGGAGCCGGCGGCGCGGCCGGCCAGCGCUGAGGAGCGCUCCGAGACGGCGCGCUCGCCGGGCUCGGGCGCCGGCCUGCCGCGGAUCCCUGCCACCAUCACCCCGCUGUCCGCCGGCCGGCCCGCCGAGCAGCCCUCUCCGCCGCCGGUCGGCGCGCCGCCACUGCCGCCGCCACCGCCGCAGCCGACCGCCGCCGAGCCGGAGCCGCCGGCGGUGAUGAAGGAGGAACACCACGACAACAGCCACAUGAAGGACGAGGGGGCCGAGGAUAACGAGAGCGACCCAGAGACGGACGGGGUGGACGGAGGUGACCCGGGGCCGUCGGGUCACAGUCUGCCGCAGACGCCGCCGCACCCUGCAGCGAUGCCGCCAGGGUUCCUGAACUGGCCGCUGGGCGGCGCUGACGGCGCCGAGGGACCGUUCGGCGGCGGCGUGGCUACCUCUGAGGCCGGCACUCCGCAAGGUGCCGUGUGCGCUCCCCGCGGUGUUCGCGAGUUGUUGGCGCGGCGGCCGGCGGCGGCGGCCGUGCGGGAGUGGGUGGCCGGCAUGCUGCCCCGGCUGCCGCCCCCGCCCCCGCCCCCGCCGGCGCCGCUGCCGACGCCCUCCCAGCUGCCGGUGAGCUGUGAACGCUGCGGACGCGCCUAUGCCACCACGUCGUCCCUGAACCGACACCUGCGCUACGAGUGUGGCCAGCCGCCCCAGUUCGCGUGCCCCGUCUGCAUGAUGCCCUUCAAGCACAAGCACAAUAUGCGUACCCACGUGCGCGUGCAUCACGGCAGCCUGUUGUGAGGACCGCGGGCGGCCCGCCCGGAGGAUGGACUAGGCCGGGUCGGGCUGAGCCGAGAGGACGGCGAAAGAAUGAGAGAGUGAGAAAGACAAGUGGAGUGCAAAGAAGUGACUGAGCAAGUGUGGCAGACGUGUAAUGAGCUCUCCUGAGUGCCGACAUUCUUACAGCGAAGAGUGCGGAGUGCAGGGUAGCAUUGGGAUCUCGUCACCUAAUUGUCCUGACCUACGGAGGAGCUGCCACGCCGCAGUCGCAGUGGGACCACGACAGGCGGCGGCGGCCGCGCCGCGCCGCGCCGCAGAGCUCAAGACGCGUACAUCCAGCAGGCGCUGUUCCGCCGGCUGCUCGAGCAGCGCCGCUACGAGCAGCUGAUGGCUCGCGCGCCGCCGCCGCCGCCGCCGCCGGGCGCCGGCCUGGGCCCGUCGCCGGGCCCCAUCCCGGGCCUGGUGCGCGGCCUCAGCCUGCCGCCCAUGCUGCGGCCGGGCAUGGUCAGCUCGCCGGCGCGCCAGUACAACUGCGAGCGCUGCGGCCGACAAUACACCUCCAGCGGCAACCUGAAGCGGCAUGUCAAAUACGAGUGCGGCGUCGAGCCCCAGUUCCAGUGCCCCGUCUGCAAGAAGAAGUUCCAGCACCGGCACUCGGUCAAGAUCCACGUGGUGUCCACGCACAAAUCGGAGAAUCCGGAGCUGAUCCGCGAGUAUUUGACGUAGCGCGCCGCGCCGCCGGCCGCGUGCUGAACGGAGAUCGGGUAACAGUUGGCUCAGAGGAGCCUCUCAGGUACACAGGGCUGCCCCGCACCCCGUGCUCUUAGCUCAGGAAUAACGACUCAGGACUAUAACUACAAACGGAUGCCAGCACUUGUUUUGCCUUCAUUGUGUUUGAGGUAGUGCGUGCGAUGUGGUGGACUAAGAGAUCGCCUUAUAGAUAGGAAGUGCAGCUUGUACUUAUUUUUGGAAGGACGAGAGAUGUACUAGUGUAGAAUGGUGAAAGUGCGAACAUAUCUUCAUGCUAUGCAGAGUUUCUGACUGCCUUUGCUUGUGCAGCUGUCUGAAAUCAGGUAAUUCGUGUAUAGCGUUAAUACCUACAUGCUAGUUAUAAAGUAGUCUUGGGACUCGUCUCUUUUGAGAACUGAUGAACUGUAUCCUUGUCAAGCGUUGAUUUCUGUUGUCAUGAUACAAUAGUGGGUAUAAUGAUCACCGAAGUUCCUUUGCUCUAUUCUCGCAUGUGUAUCAACGAAUUAUGAAUCAGCAAAUGGCGACAGAUGGCAGUCAUUGCCUUCUGAGAUUAACCCAUCUUGUCCGAAGCAGUUAUUUGCGUACGCCUUUACGUGCUUAGGCUACUCAGGGAUCCUCGAUGGCAGCUGCAGUUCCGUAGUUGUUUGAUUUGUACUCGCCCUUCCUCACCCAGGCAUCGAUCGGUCGUUCGGGCUAUCAGCCCAUCACCUGUCGUUGCCCAAGCUUUGGAAGAAGCGAUGUUUUCGGUAUGGCGCUAUAUUUACUUGGAGCGGGUAGUUUUUUUUUUUUUUUGCAUCGCCUUGCGUGUGGAUACAUACGUGUUUGUAUAUAGGAUCGCCAGGCGGCAUUGUUGAACAAAUCAAAACGUGACUCAGGAUUGUACUCAGGAAUCAUGUCGACCACAGUAUGUUUGUGUGCGUGUGUGAGUGUGUGAGCCGUCGCUGGCCUGUGUCUCUGACGGAGUUGCGUGUUUGAUCUAGAUCGGUCGCCGGACCGUGUGUCGUGCGCGGUAUGAGGGAUCCGACUGUGCUGUUGUGCCCCUGCUCUGUGGUCCAGGGUGACGCUCGUACAAGGAUUGGUGCCUAACUCGGCUGGGAAACACUCUGCCGAAGGGGUGUGCGUAAAUCAAAACGGCGAGCCGAGAGCCGAGCGCUGACGAUUGUUUCGGACGGCGACCGCUCGGCUGGCUUCCAGCUGCAGUGUCUGACUAGACGCUGUGACCACCAAAUUAUGUUUCUAUGACGGGUCUUGCAGUUAUUGCUGAUUCGUCAGGCAUGUUUUGCGGAUAGGUUCGUCUUCGGGUACCGAUUAUCUUGAUUACUUUCGAUAUUGCCUGAGGUAUAUGAUGCAUAUUUUGCCAGUCUGCGUUUUGGAUCGUUUUGCGCUCUGCGAUGCCACUGGGCGUAGGGUGCCGUGAGUUACGUCCCGUUUGCGCGCGCGACUGGAAGGAUCAUGGUGCUGAAAUUGAGCCGUCUGCGUCGCUGUCAGUGCGGACGCCGUCUUCCAUUUUCUGACCGCUGGUGGUGGGGACUGUCAAUGCGCCUUGUGAAUCGACUAUAGCCUGGACGGACAAUACAGAUUGACUUCUA
rnacentral:misc_RNA from 1 species